GAUGAACGCUAGCGAUAGGCUUAACACAUGCAAGUCGAGGGGCAGCACAAGGUAGCUUGCUAUCUGGGUGGCGACCGGCGCACGGGUGCGUAACGCGUAUGCAACUUGCCCUAUACAGGAGGAUAACCCGUCGAAAGACGGACUAAUACUGCGUAUGCUCACAACUUGGCAUCAAGUGGUGAGGAAAGAAAUUCGGUAUAGGAUAGGCAUGCGUCCCAUUAGCUUGUUGGUGAGGUAACGGCUCACCAAGGCAACGAUGGGUAGGGGAACUGAGAGGUUUAUCCCCCACACUGGUACUGAGACACGGACCAGACUCCUACGGGAGGCAGCAGUGAGGAAUAUUGGCCAAUGGGCGCGAGCCUGAACCAGCCAAGUCGCGUGAAGGAUGACUGUCUUAUGGAUUGUAAACUUCUUUUAAACGGGAAUAACAAGAGUAACGUGUGACUCCCUGCAUGUACCGUAUGAAUAAGCAUCGGCUAACUCCGUG
rnacentral:rRNA from 1 species